GGAGAGUUGGCAGAGUG
rnacentral:misc_RNA from 1 species